GGCGCCAUAGCCAAGUGGUAAGGCAGAGGUCUGCAAAACCUUUAUCCCCAGUUCAAAUCUGGGUGGCGCCU
rnacentral:tRNA from 1 species